rnacentral:rRNA from 1 species
AACGAACGCUGGCGGCAGGCCUAACACAUGCAAGUCGAGCGCCCCGCAAGGGGAGCGGCGGACGGGUGAGUAACGCGUGGGAACAUACCCUUUGGUACGGAAUAGCCUCGGGAAACUGGGAGUAAUACCGUAUGUGCUCGAAAGAGGAAAGAUUUAUCGCCAAAGGAUUGGCCCGCGUUGGAUUAGGUAGUUGGUGGGGUAAUGGCCUACCAAGCCGACGAUCCAUAGCUGGUUUGAGAGGAUGAUCAGCCACACUGGGACUGAGACACGGUCCAGAUUCCUACGGGAGGCAGCAGUGGGGAAUCUUAGACAAUGGGCGCAAGCCUGAUCUAGCCAUGCCGCGUGAUCGAUGAAGGCCUUAGGGUUGUAAAGAUCUUUCAGUGGGGAAGAUAAUGACUGUACCCACAGAAGAAGCCCCGGCUAACUCCGUGCCAGCCGCCGCCGUAA